AGUCGAACGGUAGCACAGAGAGCUUGCUCUCGGGUGACGAGUGGCGGACGGGUGAGUAAUGUCUGGGAAACUGCCUGAUGGAGGGGGAUAACUACUGGAAACGGUAGCUAAUACCGCAUAACGUCGCAAGACCAAAGAGGGGGACCUUCGGGCCUCUUGCCAUCAGAUGUGCCCAGAUGGGAUUAGCUAGUAGGUGGGGUAACGGCUCACCUAGGCGACGAUCCCUAGCUGGUCUGAGAGGAUGACCAGCCACACUGGAACUGAGACACGGUCCAGACUCCUACGGGAGGCAGCAGUGGGGAAUAUUGCACAAUGGGCGCAAGCCUGAUGCAGCCAUGCCGCGUGUAUGAAGAAGGCCUUCGGGUUGUAAAGUACUUUCAGCGGGGAGGAAGGCGGUGAGGUUAAUAACCUUGUCGAUUGACGUUACCCGCAGAAGAAGCACCGGCUAACUCCGUGCCAG
rnacentral:rRNA from 1 species